ACGAAGCACUCUAUGGUGCGCAGUAUAAAGGCGAGUGGAGCGUUAUAAACGACCUUUCAUUAAGGAUGGCGGACGGUGCACGAAGUCAUUUGUGCGCAGAGGGUGGCGUGAUGUGGGCUGAAGCUCUCCGAUGUCGCCUUCCAUCGAUAACCUGAUGGGGUUAUUUGAAGUGACCUGAUUUAUCAGAUGGCAGGAUGUGGAGGUGCUUGUGAAGGCCCUUUCUGCAUGCAGGACUGAAUGAGGGUAGAGAAACUCAUGAGAUCAGCAGUGGAAGCUGGAGUUUGUCACCAAUGGAAUGUAGGCCAGGUACCGUGACUGAAAACAGAUGUCGGUGUGCAGUUGGGGUCCCAGUUGCAGUUUCUGCUUUUGUGCUUCUCUUGAAUGGGGAAACACCUGUGUGUUCGGUUUAAAAAUAAAAUAAAAAUCCUAAACUGUGUAAACAAA